GACGAACGCUGGCGGCGUGCUUAACCCAUGCAAGUCGAACGGAAAGGCCCCCUUUUGUGGUGCUCGAGUGGCGAACGGGUGAGUAACACGUGAGUAACCUACCCUUUACUUUUGGAUAACUUCAGGAAACUGGGGCUAAUACCGGAUAGGAGCUCCUGCUGCAUGGUGGGGGUGGGGAAGUUUUGGCGGUUGGGGAUGGACUCGCGGCUUAUCAGCUUGUUGGUGGGGUAGUGGCUCACCAAGGCUUUGACGGGUAGCCGGCCUGAGAGGGUGACCGGCCACAUUGGGACUGAGAUACGGCCCAGACUCCUACGGGAGGCAGCAGUGGGGAAUAUUGCACAAUGGGCGGAAGCCUGAUGCAGCAACGCCGCGUGCGGGAUGACGGCCUUCGGGUUGUAAACCGCUUUCGCCUGUGACGAAGCGUGAGUGACGGUAAUGGGUAAAGAAGCACCGGCUAACUACGUG
rnacentral:rRNA from 1 species